AUUUCACCCAGUUACGAAUUACAAAAAAAAUGACACUGUACGAUCUCAAAGAUUUUUAUUACCCAUAUUUUCAUCAUUGACCCGAAAUAGCCUUCCGACCCAAUUUAUUUACAAGCUGUAACCACCUUCUAUUCCUAAUGUAUUUCUCUUCCCAGAAGGCGAUUACAAGAUAGCCCGGUGACAAACUUGUCCACAAAACUAGAAAUCGCAAAUUGCUUAAGGGGCCAUGAAAAGGCUAAGAGAAUGGGAACAGAGCUCGGCACAAGCAACAAUCAGCGGUAACAGCAACAUAUAUCCGGCACAAACUUCAGAAUCCCAAAGAAACGAAAGAUAAGUCAGCAGCAACUUCAAACGGUCCUACUCUUGAUUUUUGUAUGAGAUUUUUAUAUUCCAAGACACAGGAAUCCGUGUAUUUGUUCUUCCGGAUUCAAAACAAGCUCAACAGCUUCACCAAACUCUAAAAUUCCCCCAAAAAGUAAAACAAAUUGAGAUUGCACCCGACCUUGCAACCUUGAAAUUCAGCUCUGGUCUCUCUAAUUUCACGCUCUUACUAGAGACAUAAGUGUGUGUGAAAGGUAGGAACGUGUAUAAAUGAGAGGGAUCCAUUUGGGUGUGUGAUUUUUGUCAAGAAGAAGAAGCUGGCGACGGGUCGUCUCCUAUGCUCAGCGGCGGAUUCCCCUUCUUUCGGGUAUAUCGUCACUCUCUCUAUAAUAGAGUCUAAGGUCCGGUUUGGACCAAGAUCAAGCCUUAGCUUUUAGUACACAAAAUUUUCUUUUUUCCUUGUUAAAGACCUUAAUCCAAAGGUAAUGGCCCCCAGUACUUGAGGUCGAACUCGUGAGGGCUCGGAUACUGUUGACUUGAAGCGAACGAUCACUAAAUACAAUUUGAAACCGGUCUUUGAAUCUAAGUUAUCACGUUUUACUGUUGCCUCAUUAAAAACCUUGCUAAAAAAUUCACUUUGGAACAAAAUCGGUUCAAGGGGAAAAUAGUACAACGCGUAGUGUCAGAUCUAAUAG
rnacentral:lncRNA from 1 species